ensembl:snoRNA
GAGCAUGUUCCCAAGGUCUGUGGCUCGUGUGGCCAUCUGAUCUCCUACUGCAUGCACGAGCAACCUGGAGAGAUGGGGACCGCUCAGGUCAGCAAAGGAUCUGCAGCUGCCACGUGCCUUUCUGAUAACA